UGGCACCAGUAAUCGACAUGUACCCAGUGAUCGACAUCUAACCUAGUCUUAAGGAAAAAAUAAGAGUUAUAUUUUGGUUUCCCGUCAUGGCAACACUUAAUCAUAGACAACAGGACUCCCUCUGUCGUCACAAAACAGAACUUUGGGCUCGGCCAUUUGUUUUCAAAAUGGCGAGCUAAAUAUUACUGUCACCGUUUGAGUUCCUUAGCUAAUCCGAUUUUAUUAGCGAAAUCCAUAACAAGAACACGCGCACCUAUUUCAAGAACUAUUCAUACAGAUAAAAUAGCAGCCACAAAAAAAAACGAUGGAUGA
rnacentral:lncRNA from 1 species